rnacentral:rRNA from 1 species
CGGCCCAGACUCCUACGGGAGGCAGCAGUAGGGAAUCUUCGGCAAUGGACGGAAGUCUGACCGAGCAACGCCGCGUGAGUGAAGAAGGUUUUCGGAUCGUAAAGCUCUGUUGUAAGAGAAGAACGAGUGUGAGAGUGGAAAGUUCACACUGUGACGGUAUCUUACCAGAAAGGGACGGCUAACUACGUGCCAGCAGCCGCGGUAAUACGUAGGUCCCGAGCGUUGUCCGGAUUUAUUGGGCGUAAAGCGAGCGCAGGCGGUUAGAUAAGUCUGAAGUUAAAGGCUGUGGCUUAACCAUAGUACGCUUUGGAAACUGUUUAACUUGAGUGCAAGAGGGGAGAGUGGAAUUCCAUGUGUAGCGGUGAAAUGCGUAGAUAUAUGGAGGAACACCGGUGGCGAAAGCGGCUCUCUGGCUUGUAACUGACGCUGAGGCUCGAAAGCGUGGGGAGCAAACAGGAUUAGAUACCCUGGCAGUCCACACCGUAAACGCUGUCUACUCGCUGUUU